rnacentral:misc_RNA from 1 species
GAUGAAGAACGUAGCGAAAUGCGAUAAGUAAUGUGAAUUGCAGAAUUCAGUGAAUCAUCGAAUCUUUGAACGCACAUUGCGCCCAUUAGUAUUCUAGUGGGCAUGCCUGUUCGAGCGUCAUUAAGUCCACUUAAGCCUAGCUUAGUGUUGGGAGACUGCUCCAGUGGUGCUACCCUGUAGCUACCCUGCAGCUCCUUAAAGACAGCGGCGGAGUCGUGUUAUCCUCUGAGCUUAGUAAAUCAUUCUAGCUUUCGAGAGUAUCACUUCACCUGCCGUUAAACCACCUAAUUUUUAUGGUUGACCUCGGAUCAGGUAGGAAUACCCGCUGAACUUAAGCAUAUCAAUAAGCGGAA